rnacentral:rRNA from 1 species
AUAACCCGGAGAAAUCCGGCCUAAUACCGCGUAACACCUUUUGGGAGCAUUCCCGGGAGGUUAAAGGAGAGAUCCGGCAUAGGAUGGACAUGCGUCGCAUUAGGUAGACGGCGGGGUAACGGCCCACCGUGCCGACGAUGCGUAGGGGUUCUGAGAGGAAGGCCCCCCACACUGGUACUGAGACACGGACCAGACUCCUACGGGAGGCAGCAGUGAGGAAUAUUGGUCAAUGGCCGAGAGGCUGAACCAGCCAAGUCGCGUGAGGGAAGAAUGUCCUAAGGAUUGUAAACCUCUUUUGUCGGGGAGCAAAAAGGCUCUGCGGAGUCGUAUUGAGAGUACCCGAAGAAAAAGCAUCGGCUAACUCCGUGCCAGCAGCCGCGGUAAUACGGAGGAUGCGAGCGUUAUCCGGAUUUAUUGGGUUUAAAGGGUGCGCAGGCGGCGUGUCAAGCAAGCGGUAAAAUAGCGGGGCUCAACCCCGUCGAGCCGUUUGAACUGGCGCGCUUGAGUUCAGGCGAGGUAGGCGGAAUUCGUGGUGUAGCGGUGAAAUGCAUAGAUAUCACGAAGAACUCCGAUUGCGAAGGCAGCUUACCAGUCUGCGACUGACGCUCAGGCACGAAAGUGUGGGUAUCGAACAGGAUUAGAUACCCUGGUAGUCCACACAGUAAACGAUGAGCACGAGGUGUCCGGGUCGCAUGAGACUUGGGUG